AUUUUGAGACACGUUAUCAUGUUAUUACAUGAACAGUAAUUCUUACGCGUAUUGUGGCUCAAGAAAGGAAGCUUAACAUACAUUUUUAUUUAUUAAAUGUACUUACUGUUCUGGUGUGUUGAAAUAUUGCCGCUUGGGUUGCUAGCGUAUUCUACCAAAAGAUCUUUGGUAGUAAGUUAAUCUUUCAACUGCGCAGACUCCCCCCCAAAAAAAGGCCAAAAAAUGGUGACACUUAUGGAGAGGUUAUGGAAACAGGCAUUACGUACAUUUUCAAAGCGAAAUGUACUUUCACAGCAGUCAUUCGAAGAGAGCUUUUUGGUACUGAAAUCAUUAGCUGAUGCGGUAACUGCUGCGGACGUUAAACUUGACCUGAAGUUGCUGGAAAGGCAUCCCUUAGGUCCUCUGAGCAGAAGAAAGCCACCUGUGACUUACAUCGAAAUAUAUGAGGAUGAUAAUGUUACUAUUGGAAUAUUUAUUUUAAAAGCUGGCGUCAAAUUACCCUUGCAUGACCACCCUCAGAUGUACGGUAUUUUGAAAGUGAUUUCAGGAACUGUUACCAUCCAGAGCUAUAGUGUUGUACCAAGUGACCGCAUAAGUCCUAGAUGUGGUUCUGAAGCCAAGUGUGUGUAUGCAGAAAAACUACCAGAAGUGACAGUGAAUCAGAGUGAUAAUUCAUGCACUCUAACGCCUACAGAACGAAACCUGCAUGAAAUAAGAAGUGUAGAUGGCCCAGCAGCAUUUUUGGAUAUCCUGGCACCACCUUAUGAUUCAGAGACAGGUGACUCUGAUCUGACAGAUCGGUCGUGUCAUUACUUCGUCGAAGUGCCGUGGACAAGUGAUGUUUGUGACAAAAAUAUCAAGAGGCUUUGUGUCAUACCCAGUCCACCAGAUUUCUGGAGCGAUUCUGCGCCGUAUAACGGCCCAGAAUUACGUGCUGUCUCGUGAUAACUAGAAACCAGUGUCGAGUGCUGAAAUGACUAUCAGCCGCUCUCCGAUCAACUCAGAGAAGCGACGCAGCUGUGUGUUUUCUACUGCGCAUGCUCUGUUAUGACAUCAUCCCUUCUAGCUCUACAAGUGCUGUGUUGCUCACAGCACCAGGAUGUGAGGCAUAGGAUUAAUGGUGAAAUAAUUAUGAGAGAAAUGGAUACUGACAAGGGAUAUUAUAAUUUCAUAAUUUGAUAUAAACUGUCUGCCUGAAGAUAAUCAAGAGGCUGUAUCUUUUGUGUUGAACAAGUGAUUUCACUGAGUGUAUACUGUCAGUAUUUAAUCAGUUCAACUGUGUGGGGUGCCAUGUUUUCAGUUCACAUAUUAUGAAGUGCAAAAUGAAUAAAAACAUCAUCAAAUGACUGUAAUACUCAUGAAACUUUGAAUGGAUGUAACUUUUUUGCUCGGGGAUUGUGUAUAUAAAGUGCAACUCAGAGUGUAAAUAUUAAUAAGAAUAGUUAAACAGCUAUUCCAUGCUGAACUGGCUUGUAUGUCUUUUACAAGGAACGUGAGACUGUAAGUCUAUAAAGUACUUGUUUCAUAAUUAUAUUUUGGUUUGUAUAAUUUUUGACAGAAAAAUACCUCAGUAUUAAGUUUAGUUAGAAAAAUCUAAGAUUUCAUUAAGUUUGUAAUUUUAAAGUGUCAGCUCCCUCCACAACCACUGCCUGAAAUGGUCUUGUGCUCAAAUUACUCAAAGGGCAAGAUAACUUUGAUGAUUGUCCGGAGACAUGACAAUUUGAAUAGUUAAAUUUGUCUGUGUAGACAAAAUACUAGUGCAGUUGUGAAAAUGUAACUAAUACACUAUUGCAGAAAGUGCAUGUAAGAAUGAGAGCUGGUUCUCUGUGAUUUUUAAAAAAAAUCUUUAUCAAAUAAUUUCUUUGUAAUUCCAUGGACACAUUUGUUAAAUUAUAAGGUGCAUAAGUCUAAACUUGACAUUAGAGCUUUCCAGUAGUACCUACAAAAAUCAAAAUUAAUUGAUUUUGUUUUGGUUGAACCGCAUUUUCUAAUAGUAAUUAUUACGCAAAAAGGUAAUUGAUAAAUGCGUAGAGAUGCAAAAUGCAGAAAAUGAAAUGCAGCAAUUGACUUUAAUUGUGACUUAAUUUUUUAUAGUAAUACUUUUUACUAUAGCUGCAUGAAAAGCAAAAUUUAUUUCAUAAUUGAUAAUAUAAAGCCCUUCCAUAACCUGGCUCACGACAAUUAUUGAAAAGAUGUACUGUUUUCAAUAAGAUCUCAUCUUUGCCAGUGGAGGGUAAUAAUGCAUCUUAUCAACAUGUUUUGUUCCUUUGUGGAGCUUUGCUGGCUAGUAAUACAAAACCCUUAUAUUAGUUAAAGUUACUGGGAAAGUAAUCAGGCUCAAGCGAUAUGUUACAAAAGUGACAAAAAUAAGGUCUUUUAUGUGUUUCUUUCUUUCUUUUUUUCUUUCUCUGUGAUAAAUGCUAUAUUAGCAUAAUUUACCAGAAUUCUACCUCAUAGGUGCUACCCAAUUCAUUGAAUUAACAUUGCAAAGUUCUACACGAAGACAUUAUUAAUUUGAAAUUCAGUAUAUUAUUAUUUCUUUCUGGUAUUCCUUAUGAAAUGGGCAUUGACAGUGUUAACACCUAACACACAAAAUAAUUUUGUGUCCAGUGUUCCUGGCUUUAACUUCUCUGUUAUUUUAAACUACAUUGCACCAUUCUGAUUAACUUUUUCUGGUUUUUCAGCAAUAUUUUCAGAUUUAUGGUUCUUAUUCUGGGUAACAGGUUUUUGAAUAUAUCUAAAGAAAAAAUAUUCAUCAGUAAUCAGUCAUGAUUUCUUGUUCUAUGAAAACAUGUGAUAUUAUUGAUAAGUAAUAAACUGUCUGUACUAAAGCAAAUUUGUUUUAAUAGUGCAUUUGUGAUGUAUAUCCAUUCUGCUUUUGAUUAUUCUAUAGUGUGGUCCAGAUAUAGUUGUAAAAUUAAAAUUUUAGUCUUAAUGAAGAACUACCCAUUGUGUAAAUUGUUUAUAAAUUCGGUAAAAUUUUGACUUGAUGUAUAGACAGUUAAAUUCUAAAAAGAACAAAUUGUUAGCACUACAUUUGGAAGUAGUACUAAGUGUGAAACCCAGUGUACAGUUCAGUAUUCAGUUGCUAUCAAUCAUUGCAGUAUAAUUUCAAGAACCAUAAAUUAUCAAUUAAAGCAGAACAUUGAUUUGUGAGUACAAUUUGCUGAAGGAAAUAAAUUACAUAUGUUUUUGUAUAAUUAACAUGAUAUGAUUAUGACAGACCGUGGAACUGCAUUGUUUGCAAGGUUUGGUACGACAGCUAGUGCAUAACUGUAUAUCUACUUGUUAAUGAAAAUAUUUAUAAAAUUUA